rnacentral:lncRNA from 1 species
UUGCAGGAGAUGCUUUUGAGGUUGUGUGGCCACCAUAAUCUAUGCAGAAGUGGUUACACGGUUCUAUAUAUAUUUCCAUCCUUUUUUUUUUUUCUUUUUGACAGCAUAGUGAAAGCUGGGGUAAUGUAACUUGACAUUGUUAACUCCAACCAGAGGAUUCCCAGCAUAAUGGAUUGUGUCUGUAUUAGGUUGUCCUGUCUUCCAGGAUCUUAUGCAUCAUUGACCACCAACCUCAAAGAGAUAUCUCUCUGGAGGCAAGGAGGAGCUGAGGAACAGCCUACAUAGUGGUCUCAUGGAUGUCUGCCAUCCAAGCUUUGCUCUCAGAUCCUCGAGAAGCCU